AUUGAACGCUGGCGGCAGGCCUAACACAUGCAAGUCGAGCGGAUGAAGGGAGCUUGCUCCUGGAUUCAGCGGCGGACGGGUGAGUAAUGCCUAGGAAUCUGCCUGGUAGUGGGGGAUAACGUCCGGAAACGGGCGCUAAUACCGCAUACGUCCUGAGGGAGAAAGUGGGGGAUCUUCGGACCUCACGCUAUCAGAUGAGCCUAGGUCGGAUUAGCUAGUUGGUGGGGUAAAGGCCUACCAAGGCGACGAUCCGUAACUGGUCUGAGAGGAUGAUCAGUCACACUGGAGCUGAGACACGGUCCAGACUACUACGGGAGGCAGCAGUGGGGAAUGUUGGACAAUGGGCGAAAGCCUGAUCCAGCCAUGCCGCGUGUGUGAAGAAGGUCUUCGGAUUGUAAAGCACUUUAAGUUGGGAGGAAGGGCAGUAAGUUAAUACCUUGCUGUUUUGACGUUACCAACAGAAUAAGCACCGGCUAACUUCGUG
rnacentral:rRNA from 1 species